GACGAACGCUGGCGGCGUGCCUAAUACAUGCAAGUCGAGCGGACCUCUUCGGAGGUUAGCGGCGGACGGGUGAGUAACACGUGGGCAACCUGCCUGUAAGACUGGGAUAACUUCGGGAAACCGGAGCUAAUACCGGAUAAUCCUUUCCCUCUCAUGAGGGAAAGCUGAAAGACGGUUUCGGCUGUCACUUACAGAUGGGCCCGCGGCGCAUUAGCUAGUUGGUGAGGUAACGGCUCACCAAGGCGACGAUGCGUAGCCGACCUGAGAGGGUGAUCGGCCACACUGGGACUGGGACACGGCCCAGACUCCUACGGGAAGCAGCAGUAGGGAAUCUUCCGCAAUGGCCGAAAGUCUGACGGAGCAACGCCGCGUGAGCGAAGAAGGUCUUCGGGUCGUAAAGCUCUGUUGUCAGGGAAGAACAAGUAUCGGAGUAACUGCCGGUACCUUGACGGUACCUGACCAGAAAGCCACGGCUAACUACGUGCCAGCCGCCGCCGUAA
rnacentral:rRNA from 1 species